CUGAAUGCAUCUUAUUGUAUGCUAGGUAUGAAUUUAUUUAGAUAUCUCCCAUAUCUUAGGAUACCUGCCUUCUCAAAAUGUCUUUGGUGAUUUAUCUUGCAGCAUUUGUUUUCAUCCUCUUUUCAUCUUUUCUUCUGCUAAAAAUUUCUAGUUUCAUCAUUGGGAAUUUACACUAAGAAAGUACAUAUUAAAAAUGUGUAUAUAUGCAUGAACAUAUUACUCAAUUUUGGGAUCUAGAAAAGAGUGAAAUUGUGAAGGUCUUAGUUUCAACAGAGGAUUUAAUAGUUAUUGUUUGUCUUGCAGUUUGCUAAGUGACUUGAUAAAAUCCAAACCUAAUAUCGAAGAUGGAGAGCUUGCCGUUGGAAUCCUAGCUUUCCGUGAACUUCAGACAGAUUGCUGUGCAGCUGCAAACCAAAAGGAAUGCUUUGACACAAAGGGUCAAAAACUGGUUGAACAGAUCCAAAGUGGUCAAAUAUCCGUGUAACUAUCUUAGCUUCCACAAUGGAAUAAUGCUGGAGAUAAAGAAUCCAAACAUCCCCAAGUAUACUUGGUUGCUGUUUUCAUGUCAGCCUUUUAAUCCCAAUUUGAUUCUUGGUGAAACAAUUAUUUCUUAUGAGAGUGUGACUAUCUUUAAAAUGAAAAUGAAUAAAAGCUUUAAAAGGAAA